UACGUAGGGGGCUAGCGUUGUCCGGAAUCAUUGGGCGUAAAGCGCGCGUAGGCGGCCAGAUAAGUCCGGUGUGAAAGUCACAGGCUCAACCUGUGAAUGCCGCUGGAAACUGUCUGGCUAGAGUCCGGAAGGGGCGAGUGGAAGUUCCUGGUGUAGCGGUGAAAUGCGCAGAUAUCAGGAGGAACACCAAUGGCGAAGGCAGCUCGCUGGAACGGUACUGACGCUGAGGCGCGAAAGCGUGGGGAGCGAACAG
rnacentral:rRNA from 1 species